GGAAGUUUGGGUGAGUGGCUAAAACCAGCAGUUUGCUAAACUGCCGUACGGGCAACCGUACCGGGGGUUCGAAUCCCCCAGCUUCCG
rnacentral:tRNA from 2 species